UGUUAAAAAUUUCAUUCAUUCCUAUUGUUAAAAAUUAGCAUGACAUGUCACGUGUAUCUCACGGUACUAUAUAAGUACCAACUUUUAACAAAAAAAUAAAUAAAAUUUUUAACA
rfam:Gossypium arboreum cultivar AKA8401 contig_13307_1, whole genome shotgun sequence.